AUUCCAACUUUUUCAUGUUUGUUCUCUUCGCCGGCGGUCACUUUGCGCACAAAAUGUGCUCUGUAUCUUCCUGGAAA
ensembl:ncRNA F44C4.10 ncRNA